rnacentral:rRNA from 1 species
GAACGCUGGCGGCGUGCCUAAUACCUGCAAGUCGAGCGAACAGACGGGGAGCUUGCUCCUCUGACGUUAGCGGCGGACGGGUGAGUAACACGUGGAUAACCUACCUAUAAGACUGGGAUAACUUCGGGAAACCGGAGCUAAUACCGGAUAAUAUAUUGAACCGCAUGGUUCAAUAGUGAAAGACGGUUUUGCUGUCACUUAUAGAUGGAUCCGCGCCGCAUUAGCUAGUUGGUAAGGUAACGGCUUACCAAGGCAACGAUGCGUAGCCGACCUGAGAGGGUGAUCGGCCACACUGGAACUGAGACACGGUCCAGACUCCUACGGGAGGCAGCAGUAGGGAAUCUUCCGCAAUGGGCGAAAGCCUGACGGAGCAACGCCGCGUGAGUGAUGAAGGUCUUCGGAUCGUAAAACUCUGUUAUUAGGGAAGAACAAAUGUGUAAGUAACUAUGCACGUCUUGACGGUACCUAAUCAGAAAGCCACGGCUAACUACGUG